AACGAACGCUGGCGGCAGGCUUAACACGUGCAAGUCGAACGCUCCGCAAGGAGAGUGGCAGACGGGUGAGUAACACGUGGGAACGUACCCUUUACUACGGAACAACUCCGGGAAACUGGAGCUAAUACCGUAUGUGCCCUUUGGGGGUAAGAUUUAUCGGUAAAGGAUCGGCCCGCGUUGGAUUAGCUAGUUGGUGGGGUAAAGGCCUACCAAGGCGACGAUCCAUAGCUGGUCUGAGAGGAUGAUCAGCCACAUUGGGACUGAGACACGGCCCAAACUCCUACGGGAGGCAGCAGUGGGGAAUAUUGGACAAUGGGCGCAAGCCUGAUCCAGCCAUGCCGCGUGUGUGAUGAAGGCCUUAGGGUUGUAAAGCACUUUCACCGGAGAAGAUAAUGACGGUAUCCGGAGAAGAAGCCCCGGCUAACUUCGUGCCAGCCGCCGCCGUAACAC
rnacentral:rRNA from 1 species